GACGAGCGCUGGCGGCGUGCCUAAUACAUGCAAGUAGAACGCUGAAGAGAGGAGCUUGCUCUUCUUGGAUGAGUUGCGAACGGGUGAGUAACGCGUAGGUAACCUGCCUUGUAGCGGGGGAUAACUAUUGGAAACGAUAGCUAAUACCGCAUAACAAUGGAUGACACAUGUCUUUUAUUUGAAAGGGGCAAUUGCUCCACUACAAGAUGGACCUGCGUUGUAUUAGCUAGUAGGUGAGGUAAUGGCUCACCUAGGCGACGGUACAUAGCCGACCUGGGAGGGUGGUCGGCCACACUGGGACUGGGACACGGCCCAGAAUCCUACGGGGGGCAGCAGUAGGGGAUCUUCGGCAAUGGGGGCAACGCUGACCGAGCAACGCCGCGUGAGUGGAGAAGGUUUUCGGAUCGUAAAGCUCUGUUGUAAGUCAAGAACGGGUGUUGGAGUGGAAAGUUCACACUGUGACGGUAGCUUACCAGAAAGGGACGGCUAACUACGUG
rnacentral:rRNA from 1 species